rnacentral:lncRNA from 1 species
GUGUGCCUGAGUCCCAGGAGCCCUAGAGGCCAGCGACAGCUUGUCUGCAUGAGUGAGCACAUGGGUGUUUUUGAGUCUGUGGGUGUCACAGAGAGGAGAUCGGGAGCUGCCUGCUCACAGGCACUUUGGGACCCCGAAAGAAAAGGCUGUGCCGAGAGAGUUCUUCCAGUCAGGAGGUGUCAUGAAGACUGGACAUGGGUCUAUCAGGACCAUCCGCAUGAUGUCAGCCAAGGAUCUCGUGGCCUGCCUCUGCCAAGGGAGGACCAGCACCUUGUCCUGAGCACUCCCAGCUUCCCAUUGCCUUCAACCUGGCUGCAUUCAGCUGCCAUGCCCCUACCUCCUGAUGUGGCCAGCACCCUCCAGGACUUCAUCUCGGUGCACCCAAAGGCCGAGGACGUUGCUGGCCAGCAGGAAAUUCCUGGUGCAUCCAGGAAGACUUCCAAGAGGUGGUGGAGCAGGGGGCACCACACCCAGACAGCUGUGUGUAAUUGUGCAGCUGCGAGCUGCUGCGGGUGCUGGCCGGAGUGCAUUCUGUGCACACUGGACUGUGUCACCACAUGCAGGCUGUUGCCGGAGGAGGAACUGUUGGCCGCCAAGGCCUAUGUGCCUGGAAACCAGCGGGGCUGCUGCAGGAGGAGGGCUGCAGGAUGCUCCAGCUCAGACCCGACUCAGGGUUUUAGAGGGCACAGGGCAUAAGGCUGUGGACAUAGACAGCCCUACUGCGCAGGAAGAGCAUAAACCAGUCAGAGGACAUGCAUGUGGGCUGCUGUUGCAUUCUGGUCUCCUUUGAGGUAGGGAAGGACGUAUUUCUUUCUAUUUUAUGGGUGAGCAAACUGAGGCACAGUGCUGGAGUGAUUUCCCACAGCAUCGAUGGCAGAUUUAGCUCCAGGGCUUAGAUUUUAGGAUCCUGCCUCUCAAAUACCGUGAUGUAUCGUGGGCUUUCUCUCCACAGAAAAUUAGAAACUCAGAAAUGGAAAGGGAACAAUGAAACUUACCCAUUCUCCCACUGCUCACAUUUCCUUCUGGUCUUUUUGUGUGUGCAUAUAAAAUAGAUCUCAGAAAAUUGA